UACGUAGGGGGCGAGCGUUGUCCGGAGUUACUGGGCGUAAAGCGCUUGUAGGCGGUCCACCAAGUUUGGGGUGACAGUUGCCGACUUAAUCGGCAAAGUGCCUCAAAGACUGGCGGACUUGAGGGCCACAGAGGGACAUGGAACUCCAGGUGUAGUGGUGAAAUGCGUAGAUAUCUGGAAGAACACCGGUGGCGAAGGCGGCGACCUGGUCCAAGACUGACGCUGAGGCGCGACAGCGUGGGGAGCAAACAGG
rnacentral:rRNA from 1 species